rnacentral:tRNA from 4 species
GCCCUUAUAGCUCAGUGGUAGAGCGCUUGACUUGUAAUCAAGAGGUCCGUGGUUCAAUCCCGCGUGGGGGCA